rnacentral:rRNA from 1 species
UACGUAGGGUGCGAGCGUUAAUCGGAAUUACUGGGCGUAAAGCGUGCGCAGGCGGUUUUGUAAGUCUGUCGUGAAAGCCCCGGGCUCAACCUGGGAAUUGCGAUGGAGACUGCAAGGCUUGAAUCUGGCAGAGGGGGGUAGAAUUCCACGUGUAGCAGUGAAAUGCGUAGAUAUUGGGAAGAACACCUGAGGCGAAGGCGGGUUGCUGGGCUGAUACUGACGCUGAGGCGCGAAAGCCAGGGGAGCAAACGGG